rnacentral:rRNA from 1 species
CCUACGGGAGGCAGCAGUGAGGAAUCUUCCACAAUGGGCGAAAGCCUGAUGGAGCAACGCCGCGUGCAGGAUGAAGGCCCUCGGGUUGUAAACUGCUUUUGUACGGAACGAAAAGCCUGGGGCUAAUAUCCCCGGGUCAUGACGGUACCGUAAGAAUAAGCACCGGCUAACUACGUGCCAGCAGCCGCGGUAAUACGUAGGGUGCAAGCGUUAAUCGGAAUUACUGGGCGUAAAGCGUGCGCAGGCGGUUUUGUAAGACAGUGGUGAAAUCCCCGGGCUCAACCUGGGAACUGCCAUUGUGACUGCAAGGCUAGAGUGCGGCAGAGGGGGAUGGAAUUCCGCGUGUAGCAGUGAAAUGCGUAGAUAUGCGGAGGAACACCGAUGGCGAAGGCAAUCCCCUGGGCCUGCACUGACGCUCAUGCACGAAAGCGUGGGGAGCAAACAGGAUUAGAUACCCCAGUAGUC